UAACUUACCUAUAAGACUGGGAUAACUUCGGGAAACCGGAGCUAAUACCGGAUAAUAUUUCGAACCGCAUGGUUCGAUAGUGAAAGAUGGCUUUGCUAUCACUUAUAGAUGGACCUGCGCCGUAUUAGCUAGUUGGUAAGGUAACGGCUUACCAAGGCAACGAUACGUAGCCGACCUGAGAGGGUGAUCGGCCACACUGGAACUGAGACACGGUCCAGACUCCUACGGGAGGCAGCAGUAGGGAAUCUUCCGCAAUGGGCGAAAGCCUGACGGAGCAACGCCGCGUGAGUGAUGAAGGUCUUCGGAUCGUAAAACUCUGUUAUUAGGGAAGAACAAACGUGUAAGUAACUGUGCACGUCUUGACGGUACCUAAUCAGAAAGCCACGGCUAACUACGUGCCAGCAGCCGCGGUAAUACGUAGGUGGCAAGCGUUAUCCGGAAUUAUUGGGCGUAAAGCGCGCGUAGGCGGUUUUUUAAGUCUGAUGUGAAAGCCCACGGCUCAACCGUGGAGGGUCAUUGGAAACUGGAAAACUUGAGUGCAAAAGAGGAAAGUGGAAUUCCAUGUGUAGCGGUUGAAAUGCGCAAGAUAUGGAAGAAACACCAGUGCGAAGGCGACUUUUCUGGUCUGUAACUGACGCUGAUGUGCGAAAGCGUGGGGAUCAAACAAGCAUCAGAUACCGCUGGUAGUCCACGCCGUAAACGAUGGAGUGGCUAAGUGUUAGGGGGUUU
rnacentral:rRNA from 1 species